rnacentral:misc_RNA from 1 species
AACGCACAUUGCGCCCCUGGGUAUUCCUGGGGGCAUGCCUGUCCGAGCGUCAUUUCAACCCUCAAGCACAGCUUGGUCUUGGGCCAUGCCGGGAACGGCCGGCCUUAAAACUAGUGGCGGUGCCGCCGGGCUCUACGCGUAGUAGUUAUUUCUCGCGUUUGGGUCCCGGCGGACGCUGGCCAGCAACCCUCAAUUUUUUAUGGUUGACCUCGGAUCAGGUAGGGAUACCCGCUGAACUUAA